AGCAUAUCAAUAAGCGGAGGAAAAGAAACCAACAGGGAUUGCCCCAGUAACGGCGAGUGAAGCGGCAACAGCUCAAAUUUGAAAUCUGGCCCUAGGCCCGAGUUGUAAUUUGCAGAGGAUGCUUUUGGCGCGGUGCCUUCCGAGUUCCCUGGAACGGGACGCCAUAGAGGGUGAGAGCCCCGUACGGUUGGACACCAAGUCUUUGUAAAGCUCCUUCGACGAGUCGAGUAGUUUGGGAAUGCUGCUCAAAAUGGGAGGUAUAUUUCUUCUAAAGCUAAAUAUUGGCCAGAGACCGAUAGCGCACAAGUAGAGUGAUCGAAAGAUGAAAAGCACUUUGAAAAGAGGGUUAAACAGCACGUGAAAUUGUUAAAAGGGAAGCGCUUGUGACCAGACUUGCGUCCGGUGAAUCACCCAGCUCUCGCGGCUGGGGCAUUUUGCCGGCUCAGGCCAGCAUCAGCUUGCCGUCGGGGACAAAAGCUUCGGGAACGUAGCUCUCUUCGGGGAGUGUUAUAGCCCGUUGCAUAAUACCCUUCGGUGGGCUGAGGUACGCGCUCCGCAAGGAUGCUGGCGUAAUGGUCAUCAGCGACCCGUCUUGAAACACGGACCAAGGAGUCAACCUUAUGUGCGAGUGUUUGGGUGUUAAACCCCUACGCGUAAUGAAAGUGAACGCAGGUGAGAGCUUCGGCGCAUCAUCGACCGAUCCUGAUGUUCUCGGAUGGAUUUGAGUAAGAGCAUAUAGGGUUGGACCCGAAAGAAGGUGAACUAUGCGUGUAUAGGGUGAAGCCAGAGGAAACUCUGGUGGAGGCUCGCAGCGGUUCUGACGUGCAAAUCGAUCGUCAAAUAUGCGCAUGGGGGCGAAAGACUAAUCGAACCUUCUAGUAGCUGGUUCCCCA
rnacentral:rRNA from 1 species